rnacentral:rRNA from 1 species
UACGUAGGGUCCGAGCGUUGUCCGGAAUUAUUGGGCGUAAAGGGCGCGUAGGCGGGAUGGCAAGUCGGUCGUGAAAUCCCUCGGCUCAACCGAGGAACGUCGAUCGAUACUGCUGUUCUUGAGGAUUGCAGAGGAGACUGGAAUUCCCGGUGUAGCGGUGAAAUGCGCAGAUAUCGGGAGGAACACCGGUGGCGAAGGCGGUUCUCUGGGCCUGUACUGACGCUGAGGAGCGAAAGCGUGGGGAGCGAACAGG